rnacentral:rRNA from 1 species
UUAAAUUGAAGAGUUUGAUCAUGGCUCAGAUUGAACGCUGGCGGCAGGCCUAACACAUGCAAGUCGAACGGUAACAGGAAACAGCUUGCUGUUUCGCUGACGAGUGGCGGACGGGUGAGUAAUGUCUGGGAAACUGCCUGAUGGAGGGGGAUAACUACUGGAAACGGUAGCUAAUACCGCAUAACGUCGCAAGACCAAAGAGGGGGACCUUCGGGCCUCUUGCCAUCGGAUGUGCCCAGAUGGGAUUAGCUAGUAGGUGGGGUAACGGCUCACCUAGGCGACGAU